UACGAAGGGUGCUAGCGUUGUUCGGAAUCACUGGGCGUAAAGCGCGCGCAGGCGGUUUUUCAAGUCAGGGGUGAAAUCCCAGAGCUUAACUCUGGAAUUGCCUUUGAAACUGUAAAACUAGAGUUCAGGAGGGGAUAGGGGAAUCGCUAAUGUAGAGGUGAAAUUCGUAGAUAUUCGGCGGAACACCAGUGGCGAAGGCGACUCACUGGCCCGAUACUGACGCUGAGGCGCGAAAACGUGGGGGAGCAAACAGG
rnacentral:rRNA from 1 species